GCUGGGUGUGGUGGUGCAUGCCUGUAAUCCUAGCUACUCAGGAGGCUGAGGCAGGAGAAUUGCUUGAACCCGGGAGGUGGACGUUGCAGUAAGCCGAGAUUGCACCACUGCACUCCAGCCUGGGUGACACAGCAAGACUCUGUCUCAA
rnacentral:SRP_RNA from 1 species